rnacentral:rRNA from 1 species
AUUGAACGCUGGCGGCAGGCCUAACACAUGCAAGUCGAGCGAGCGGCGGACGGGUGAGUACUGUCUGGUAAACUGCCUGUUGGCGGGGGAUAACUACUGGAAACGGUAGCUAAACCCGCAUACCAUCCGAUUUCCCCAGUUGGGAUUAGCUGGUGGGUGGGGUAACGGCUCACCUAGGCGACGAUCCCUAGCUGGUCUGAGAGGAUGACCAGCCACACUGGAACUGAGACACGGUCCAGACUCCUACGGGAGGCAGCAGUGGGGAAUAUUGGACAAUGGGCGCAAGCCUGAUGCAGCAAUGCCGCGUGAGUGAAGAAGGCCUUCGGGUUGUAAAGCACUGUCGGCGGGGAGGCGUUACCCAAAGAAGAAGCACCGGCUAACUCCGUGCCAGCAGCCGCGGUAAUAC